rnacentral:rRNA from 1 species
UGGGGAAUUUUGGACAAUGGGGGCAACCCUGAUCCAGCAAUGCCGCGUGUGUGAAGAAGGCCUUCGGGUUGUAAAGCACUUUUGUCCGGGAAGAAAUCGCACCUGAUAAUACCGGGUUUGGAUGACGGUACCGGAAGAAUAAGGACCGGCUAACUACGUGCCAGCAGCCGCGGUAAUACGUAGGGUCCAAGCGUUAAUCGGAAUUACUGGGCGUAAAGCGUGCGCAGGCGGUUGUGCAAGACCGAUGUGAAAUCCCCGGGCUUAACCUGGGAAUUGCAUUGGUGACUGCACGGCUAGAGUGUGUCAGAGGGGGGUAGAAUUCCACGUGUAGCAGUGAAAUGCGUAGAGAUGUGGAGGAAUACCGAUGGCGAAGGCAGCCCCCUGGGAUAACACUGACGCUCAUGCACGAAAGCGUGGGGAGCAAACAGG